CUUGGUUAUAAUUGUGGCGUGGAAACACCUGUUACCAUCUCGAACACAGAAGUUAAGCACGCUCACGCUGAUGGUACUAUACUGGAGACGGUAUGGUAGAGUAAGUCGUAGCCGAUU
rnacentral:rRNA from 1 species